rnacentral:lncRNA from 1 species
GAUACUUCACCAUCUUCCAAUCAAUCAGCUGCAGCAUGAAAGGUAAAAUCUUCUCUCUCUAAAAUCUUUCUCUCUAACCUCUCUCUAGCCAAAAGCACAGUAGUUUCUAUUAGUGAUACAUAUGUUAGAUACUAGUUUGUAGUAGUAUAUAUAUACUUGUAAAUUGUAAUAAUCUCAUUAGUGGGAUAACUUUAUCAUUUGUAAUAUUCACUUUUAUCAUCAAUACAAACAUUAUUUGAGUUUUCUCUCAUUCCUUCCUUGGAUAUCAUGUUUACUAACAGUUUCCUCCAUUUUAUCCAAAUCAAUCGGCCAGAUAUGGAUCCUGGCAGUGGUGAUGCGACAUGGGUGUUUUAGGUGAUGACGUGUAUUUUUGUGGGGUUGUCCGCAUAGGUGUUUUUAGGGUGUUUAUUUUUGGGUGUUCCGCCCCUAUAUACGGCGUCUUUUGUUUGUAUUCUUAGUUUCACCGAUCUAUAUUCAUCUUGAGC